rnacentral:rRNA from 1 species
AGUAACACGUGGAUAACCUACCUAUAAGACUGGGAUAACUUCAGGAAACCGGAGCUAAUACCGGAUAAUAUAUUGAACCGCAUGGUUCAAUAGUGAAAGACGGUUUUGCUGUCACUUAUAGAUGGAUCCGCGUCGCAUUAGCUAGUUGGUAAGGUAACGGCUUACCAAGGCAACGAUGCGUAGCCGACCUGAGAGGGUGAUCGGCCACACUGGAACUGAGACACGGUCCAG